rnacentral:rRNA from 1 species
UACGUAGGGUGCGAGCGUUAAUCGGAAUUACUGGGCGUAAAGCGUGCGCAGGCGGUUUUGUAAGACAGAUGUUAAAUCCCCGGGCUUAACCUGGGAAUGGCAUUUGGGACUGCAAGGCUCGAGUGCGGCAGAGGAGACUGGAAUUCCUGGUGUAGCAGUGAAAUGCGUAGAUAUCAGGAGGAACACCGAUGGCGAAGGCAGGUCUCUGGGCUGACACUGACGCUCAUGCACGAAAGCGUGGGGAGCAAACAGG